AUCGAGACGCAUCGACCGAAAUCUAAGAGUUAUAUAUACAUAUAUAGGCAAUGUGUUUUCCCAGUGAAUCCCAAUGUCGCAUCCUGUUUGUUGCAGUUUCGGUUUGUGACCGACACUAACGGGUAGUUGGGGCACCUCGAAUACGCUGUUUUACUCGUUUUUGCGAUCACAAAUUCUGAAAUUGCAACGAAAAGCAACAAGAAAAUUUCUCAACGAACUGAACCGGGCCGAGGCGGACCGGGGUCAAUAUUUCAGUUCGGAGCGGCAGCGAGUGAACAGGAGAAAGAGCGUGAAAACCUAUUGAUACUAUAUUUCUGUAUAAUACAAAUUCCCAAUUGAUAUACACAAAGUACAUAGCGCCGAAGAUGUCAAACUGUCAAGCGAAUACAAAGCACUCCUCCCGCUUCCAAUAGGACCAAAUACAUACAUAUAUGUAUGCUAACAAAUACAUGUGUGCAGCUAUGUGUAUGUGUUUUUGUGUGUGUUGACGUUGGUUCAUACACUAAAUAAAAUAUUGUUCCCCAGAAACUUAGAAAAACUUUCUUCAAUUAGGUAAUGCGUGGAAAAUAAAUAUAUG
rnacentral:sRNA from 1 species